rnacentral:rRNA from 1 species
CAGUAGCCGCGGUAAAACAGAGGGUGCAAGCGUUAAUCGGAAUUACUGGGCGUAAAGCGCGCGUAGGUGGUUCGCCAAGUUGGAUGUGAAAUCCCCGGGCUCAACCUGGGAACUGCAUCCAAAACUGGCGAGCUAGAGUAUGGUAGAGGGUGGUGGAAUUUCCUGUGUAGCGGUGAAAUGCGUAGAUAUAGGAAGGAACAUCAGUGGCGAAGGCGACCACCUGGACUGAUACUGACACUGAGGUGCGAAAGCGUGGGGAGCAAACAGGAUUAGAUACCCCAGUAGUCCCUGUCUCUUAUAC